AACGAACGCUGGCGGCAUGCCUAACACAUGCAAGUCGAACGGGAUCCUAGCUUGCUAGGUGAGAGUGGCGGACGGGUGAGUAACACGUGGGAAUCUGCCUUUUGGUUCGGGAUAACCGCGGGAAACUGCGGCUAAUACCGAAUGCCCUCGAGAGAGGAAAGAUUUAUCGCCAGAAGAGGAGCCCGCGUCCGAUUAGGUAGUUGGUGGGGUAAAGGCCUACCAAGCCGACGAUCGGUAGCUGGUCUGAGAGGAUGAUCAGCCACACUGGGACUGAGAUACGGCCCAGACUCCUACGGGAGGCAGCAGUGGGGAAUAUUGGACAAUGGGGGGCAACCCUGAUCCAGCAAUGCCGCGUGAGUGAUGAAGGCCUUAGGGUUGUAAAGCUCUUUUGCCAGGGAAGAUGAUGACUGUACCUGGAGAAUAAGCCCCGGCUAACUUCGUGCCAGCAGCCGCGGUAAU
rnacentral:rRNA from 1 species